UACGGGGGGGGCAAGCGUUGUUCGGAAUUACUGGGCGUAAAGGGCUCGUAGGCGGCCAACUAAGUCAGACGUGAAAUCCCUCGGCUUAACCGGGGAACUGCGUCUGAUACUGGAUGGCUUGAAUCCGGGAGAGGGAUGCGGAAUUCCAGGUGUAGCGGUGAAAUGCGUAGAUAUCACUCGGAAGGCCAAAGGCGAAGGCAGGUUACUGGUACGCAACUGACGCUGAGGCACGAAAGCGUGGGGAGCAAACAGG
rnacentral:rRNA from 1 species